UACGGAGGGAGCUAGCGUUGUUCGGAAUUACUGGGCGUAAAGCGUACGUAGGCGGUUAUUCAAGUCAGAGGUGAAAGCCCGGGGCUCAACCCCGGAACUGCCUUUGAAACUAGAUAGCUAGAGUCUUGGAGAGGUUAGUGGAAUUCCGAGUGUAGAGGUGAAAUUCGUAGAUAUUCGGAAGAACACCAGUGGCGAAGGCGACUUACUGGACACAUAUUGACGCUGAGGUGCGAAAGCGUGGGGAGCAAACAGGG
rnacentral:rRNA from 1 species